AUGAGGAUCCUAAGUUGGAACUGUCGGGGCCUGGGGCAGCCCCGGACAGUUCAAGAACUUGUGUGCUUGGUUAGCACACACCUUUCUUCUAUCGUUUUUCUCUCUGAAACUAGGCAGAAUAAGGAGCGGGUAAAUAACCUUAGGUGGCGGCUGAGUCUUAAAGACGGUUUGCUGCAUGAUGGUAGGGGAAAAGGUGGAGGUAUCGCCUUGUACUGGGAUGAAUCUGUUGAAAUAAAAAAACUAUCACUUGGCCCGCGGUACAUAGAUGUGUUGAUUCGUAAUAAUCCUAAUGAACAAUGGUGGAGGGGUACGUUCAUCUAUGGAGAACCAGAAGCACAUGAAAGGAUCCACAUGUGGAACUUAAUCAGGAGAAUUAAGAAUAACUCAAAUGCGCCUUGGAUGUUGAUUGGUGACUUUAAGAAAACGUAG
rnacentral:rRNA from 1 species